rnacentral:rRNA from 1 species
UAGGGAAUCUUCCGCAAUGGGCGAAAGCCUGACGGAGCAACGCCGCGUGAGUGAUGAAGGUCUUCGGAUCGUAAAACUCUGUUAUUAGGGAAGAACAAAUGUGUAAGUAACUAUGCACGUCUUGACGGUACCUAAUCAGAAAGCCACGGCUAACUACGUGCCAGCAGCCGCGGUAAUACGUAGGUGGCAAGCGUUAUCCGGAAUUAUUGGGCGUAAAGCGCGCGUAGGCGGUUUUUUAAGUCUGAUGUGAAAGCCCACGGCUCAACCGUGGAGGGUCCUUGGAAACUGGGAAACUUGAGUGCAGAAGAGGAAAGUGGAAUUCCAUGUGUAGCGGUGAAAUGCGCAGAGAUAUGGAGGAACACCAGUGGCGAAGGCGACUUUCUGGUCUGUAACUGACGCUGAUGUGCGAAAGCGUGGGAAUCAAACAGG